AUUGAACGCUGGCGGCAUGCUUUACACAUGCAAGUCGAACGGUAACAGGCCUUCGGGUGCUGACGAGUGGCGAACGGGUGAGUAAUGCAUCGGAACGUACCCAGAGGUGGGGGAUAACGCAGCGAAAGCUGUGCUAAUACCGCAUGUGAUCUGAGGAUGAAAGCGGGGGACCGAGCAGCAAUGUUUGGCCUCGCGCCUUUGGAGCGGCCGAUGUCGGAUUAGCUAGUUGGUGGGGUAAAGGCCUACCAAGGCGACGAUCCGUAGCUGGUCAGAGAGGACGACCAGCCACACUGGGACUGAGACACGGCCCAGACUCCUACGGGAGGCAGCAGUGGGGAAUUUUGGACAAUGGGCGCAAGCCUGAUCCAGCAAUGCCGCGUGCGGGAAGAAGGCCUUCGGGUUGUAAACCGCUUUUGGCAGGAACGAAACGGUGUCCGCUAAUACCGGGCGCUAAUGACGGUACCUGCAGAAUAAGCACCGGCUAACUACGUG
rnacentral:rRNA from 1 species